rnacentral:rRNA from 1 species
GACGAACGCUGGCGGCGUGCCUAAUACAUGCAAGUUGAGCGCUGAAGGUUGGUACUUGUACCAACUGGAUGAGCAGCGAACGGGUGAGUAACGCGUGGGGAAUCUGCCUUUGAGCGGGGGACAACAUUUGGAAACGGAUGCUAAUACCGCAUAAAAACUUUAAACACAAGUUUUAAGUUUGAAAGAUGCAAUUGCAUCACUCAAAGAUGAUCCCGCGUUGUAUUAGCUAGUUGGUGAGGUAAAGGCUCACCAAGGCGAUGAUACAUAGCCGACCUGAGAGGGUGAUCGGCCACAUUGGGACUGAGACACGGCCCAUACUCCUACGGGAGGCAGCAGUAGGGAAUCUUCGGCAAUAGACGAAAGUCUGACCGAGCAACGCCGAGUGAGUGAAGAAGGUUUUCGGAUCGUAAAACUCUGUUGGUAGAGAAGAACGUUGGUGAGAGUGGAAAGCUCAUCAAGUGACGGUAACUACCCAGAAAGGGACGGCUAACUACGUG